UACGUAGGGUGCAAGCGUUAAUCAGAAUUACUGGGAGUAAAGCGUGCGCAGGCGGUGAUGUAAGACAGUUGUGAAAUCCCCGGGCUCAACCUGGGAACUGCAUCUGUGACUGCAUCGCUGGAGUGCGGCAGAGGGGGAUGGAAUUCCGCGUGUAGCAGUGAAAUGCGUAGAUAUGCGGAGGAACACCGAUGGCGAAGGCAAUCCCCUGGGCCUGCACUGACGCUCAUGCACGAAAGCGUGGGGAGCAAACAGG
rnacentral:rRNA from 1 species